rnacentral:rRNA from 1 species
GAUGAACGCUGGCGGCGUGCCUAAUACAUGCAAGUCGAGCGAAUGGAUUAAGAGCUUGCUCUUAUGAAGUUAGCGGCGGACGGGUGAGUAACACGUGGGUAACCUGCCCAUAAGACUGGGAUAACUCCGGGAAACCGGGGCUAAUACCGGAUAACAUUUUGAACCGCAUGGUUCGAAAUUGAAAGGCGGCUUCGGCUGUCACUUAUGGAUGGACCCGCGUCGCAUUAGCUAGUUGGUGAGGUAACGGCUCACCAAGGCAACGAUGCGUAGCCGACCUGAGAGGGUGAACGGCCACACUGGGAGUGGGACACGGCCCAGACUCCUACGGGAGGUAGCAGUAGGGAAUCUUCCGCAAUGGACGAAAGUCUGACGGAGCAACGCCGCGUGAGUGAUGAAGGCUUUCGGGUCGUAAAACUCUGUUGUUAGGGAAGAACAAGUGCUAGUUGAAUAAGCUGGCACCUUGACGGUACCUAACCAGAAAGCCACGGCUAACUACGUGCCAGCCGCCGCAGUAA